CCUAUUUGAGUGUUAUGAACAACUCAUCCAAAUCCUUUGGAUGGCUCUGAGCUUGCAUUUGGCUGGCUUGAAAUUAAUUGGGUAAACACUUACCAUGUGUAUCGUCAUAUAUUUUAGCGAUAUUUACAUUGGUAGAUAGUAUCCUGUAAUAAAUUUUCAAUCUUAGCCUCAAAUUAGGUAGGAAUACCCGCUGAACUUAA
rnacentral:misc_RNA from 1 species